rnacentral:tRNA from 1 species
GGCCAGGAGGCGCUGGCGCAGGCGCGCCCGCUCCUGGAGGGCCUGGAGGAGGUCCGCCGCGCUGCCGCGCCCCAGUUCGCAGCAGGUCUUGGCCA